GCAUCGGUGGUGCAACCGUUCAGCACGAGCCCCCGGAUAGGCUGAGAUCUGGGUUCGAAUCUCAGCUGACGCA